rnacentral:rRNA from 1 species
AGUGAACGCUGGCGGUAGGCCUAACACAUGCAAGUCGAACGGCAGCACAGUAAGAGCUUGCUCUUACGGGUGGCGAGUGGCGGACGGGUGAGGAAUACAUCGGAAUCUACUUUUUCGUGGGGGAUAACGUAGGGAAACUUACGCUAAUACCGCAUACGACCUACGGGUGAAAGUAGGGGAUCUUCGGACCUUGCGCGAUUGAAUGAGCCGAUGUCGGAUUAGCUAGUUGGCGGGGUAAAGGCCCACCAAGGCGACGAUCCGUAGCUGGUCUGAGAGGAUGAUCAGCCACACUGAAACUGAGACACGGUCCAGCCUCCUACGGGGGGCAGCAGUGGGAAAUAUUGGACAAUGGGCGAAAGCCUGACCCAGCCAUACCGCGUGGGUGAAAAAGCCCUUCGGUUUGUAAAGCCCUUUUGUUGGAAAAAAAAAACAGCGGGUUAAUCCCCCGCUGUUCUGGCGGUACCCAAAGAAGAAGCACCGGCUAACUUCG